CCGCAGGGCGCUUUGCGCGACAGCGCAAAGGCAGGCGGUUUCGCGUAGCGAAAGCGAAUGCUUUGGGGUGGGGUGACUGCGUACCUUUUGUAUAAUGGGUCAGCGACUUAUAUUCUGUAGCAAGGUUAACCGAAUAGGGGAGCCGGAGGGAAACCGAGUCUUAAUUGGGCGUUAAGUUGCAGGGUAUAGACCCGAAACCCGGUGAUCUAGCCAUGGGCAGGUUGAAGGUUGGGUAACACUAACUGGAGGACCGAACCGACUAAUGUUGAAAAAUUAGCGGAUGACCUGUGGCUGGGGGUGAAAGGCCAAUCAAACCGGGAGAUAGCUGGUUCUCCCCGAAAGCUAUUUAGGUAGCGCCUCGUGAAUU
rnacentral:rRNA from 1 species